rnacentral:tRNA from 1 species
ACCUGGGUGGCUCAGUCCGUUAAGCGUCUGACUUCAGCUCAGGUCACGAUCUCGUGGUGCGUGGGUUCGAGCCCCGCUUCGGGCU